rnacentral:lncRNA from 1 species
AGACACGCAAACUCCCAUCGUGUCCCAGAUCACAUUCCGUGAAUCAAAAGGGAAAGCCUACUCAUCUAUCAGCUCCUCUUGUAGAUCGGUGGUUGUACCUGUGAACCAACCCCCUACAGCGAAAUAGGCAUAAGGAAAGAGCAAUAGACCGGACCAGCCUACAAAAACGAAACGGUCCCUCCGUAACCAGUCAUCCAUAAUAUCAAAUAAAUCAUUUUCGUCUUUGGAGGCAUAAGGAAAGAGCAAUAGACCGGACCAGCCUACAAAAACGAAACGGUCCCUCCGUAACCUUUGGCCGACCUAGGCAGCUUCCUAGGACUCUCUAGAGUCCUCUAAGAUGCCACCACUCCUUUGUACUUCCAUGGAGCUUCCACUUACUCCUAGAUCACUCCGGAACCUUCUAGAACCUUCCAUAGCGCAAGAUUGUGCUUACACGUGCAAGUUUCCCUGCAUGUGGCUCGUCCGUGCUUUCUGAGGCGCUGCCUCGAUUAUUUCCGAACAAGGGUGUUCUAUUCUGUUGGUAAUAAUGGAACAAUUCUGGUACGAUUCUAUUCAACAUUUUGUUCGUUCGGGUUUGAUUGUCCUUUCUACAACAGCCGAUUAGCAAAUUCUAUAGGUAUAGAUUUUAUUGAAUCAAAAAUAAUGUGAAAUAAAGAUACUAGUCAAUAGAUAACCUUUUUUUUCCAAUUAUGAAUGUUUUAUGGAAUAGAAAAACUUGAAAAAAACACAUAUUGACCCGGACGACUUUUCCGCCGGACGUAUCUAAUUCUUUGGUAGCAGACCUCUUUGAUAGUUCGACCGUUAUCCCCCGUCUAACUCAACAUCGACUGUACGGCUAUUGUGAUUGCAAGCUCGGUUUUGUCUGAAUCUUCGUGGAAGAAGAAGAAGCGGUUCACCAGCCACCAUCUUAGUCUACCCGACUUUGACUUUGACUUGCAUCUCCUUCGCCCGCGCGAGAGACUUCUAUGCCAGCCCGGAAUAACGGCUCUGUUAUGACCAGAUCCCCUGGUCUGCAAUAUUCACCCCGGCCCACAAGCACACAAAACCAAUCUCAUAACUCUUUUUGCAGGACAUUCAUGAAUCUACUCGAGCUCUUUGGCAGUAUUAAGAUCCCCUACUCACCUUUCAUGUAAAAAGAAAAAGGCACUGGUUUAGUUCGAAAUGGGGAUUCCUUUCCCCUAUGAUUAUAGGAACAAUCCUCACCGCCCUUUCAAUUCUAUCCAUAAGCCUCUAUCGAAGAAGCCCCCAACCAAGGGAGUGGUUACGUUCACUAUGUCCCCCUUAUUCCCGACAUGCUAUGGUGCCCCGGGGCUGUCUCGCGAAGAUCUUCGAUCCGAACCUUCGCAUCUACUCUCUCUUAGAGGAUGAACCACGCCUUCGCUAUCGCAAGAAUAUAGCGAUCGAAGAGCUAUGGCUCAGCUGCUUCGCGUAUUACACCGUAUUGCCCGAAGGGGGCAUGCUGCAAGAGCGUAGGUGAGUGAUAAGCAUAGGAGGCGUGCCCGAAGGGCAGCGGCAGCAGUGUGGUUCCAGAUGCCGUCGCUAGAUUGAGAUCUGCAGGGUGGCGGGUACUUCGACUGCCUUGUAUCAGGUGAAGAGAAGGGGGUGGUAGGCUUAGUAGGGCUCGAACCUACAAUAUCACCGUUAUGAGCGGUACGUUUCAACCAAUUAAACUAUAAGCCCCUACGGAUCUCUACAUGCAAUUCGCUCACUUCGGGAAGAGCGGACGGAAAGAGAAGGCCUUUGUCCUAUCUGAUGUGAAUUCGGCGGGUUGUCCCCUCUUCCUACGGGUUCCCCCACCGACCCAGUGACACACCAACAACACGCCUUCACUUUCUCCGAUCAGGAAUUGUCUUAUGUGCGGAUUGAAGUGCGUGAUAGAGAUAGAUGCUUCCGUAAGUUUACUUUUUCCAGGAAAGCUAAAUUCUUUUAGUCUUUCAGGGGGAUCGAAUCUCCUUCUUCACUCACGCGAUAUUGCUAGAUCGGAGUGAGAGGGAGGUCAUUCAGAACCCGCUGGCUCCAGAACGGGGGGGCGGCUCCAGAGGCGCUGCCGCAGGCGCCAGCACCGACAUAAAUUGCCCACCCCGCUCCCGAUCAAAAAGAGCAUGCGAGACUUCGAAGGGACAUUCACACUUUGAUUCGUGAGCAACUUCACGAGAACAUUGUGAAAGGGGGAAAUGGCGGCUGUCCGUGCACUUUCCGGAAAUGACGGAAAUAUAGUCCAGUGCCGCGAAGGCGAUAAUGUCUUACGAUCUUACGAUCUCCGCGGAGACGGAUACGGAAACCCUCCGCAGAUGGGUGGAGAAUAUAAGGGGGACCUUUAUCUCCUAAAGCUACUCAUUAGGGAAUACCGGCCAAAUUAGUCUGUCUGCCGCUUUCUUUCAUAACAGAGCCGUUAUUCCGGGCUGGCAUAGAAGUCUCUCGCGCGGGCGAAGGAGAUGCAUUUCUGGUACUGGUGGUAUUGGACAAGCUCUAAGGGAAUAAUCUCUUUCUUAUUUCUGUAUUUCUUUCCCAUGACGACUAAGAACAGGCAAAUCAAAAAUUUCACUUCGAAUUUCGGACCUCAACAUCCUGCUGCUCAUGGUGUUUCACGAUCAGUAUUGGAAAUGAACGGAGAAGUGGUGGAACGUGCGGAACCUCUCACUGAGGACCAUGGGCCAAUAACUUCAGGUGCAAUAGAAAGCAGAAGAAGAAGAAGGAGCCUCCUACCUUCCUUCUGACCCCGCGCAGUGAGCAAGCAUCAAUCAAUCAAUUCGAUUUCUUUCUAUUUUUAAGUACACCAAACGCUUCACGCUCCUUGGGAUUAUUAUAACAGUGAGAACCCCAUUUCACUAAUCGCCAGGGAGGGCAUAAGCAUGUCUUACUCAAAAUCGAUAGAUAGGUUGGUAGAGAGGUGGAAAUUGACCCCUCUGAGCUUGCGCAUUCACUUACUUGACUAAGGUUCAUACAAGAUCGGAUUGGAAUCGAUGACUUCAACCUAUUACCUUAGUAGUCCUAGGCAUAUAAAAGGCAUUCCUUCUAACUAUAAAAACUAUCAAGUCGCCUUCGCUACUCUCUUUCCUCUUUAUGGAUUGAAAGCGCGUACUCUCUUCCAAAGAACAUGAACUGAAAGCAGCAAGCUUUUGCCCUUGCGCCAGAGGAAUGGAAAGAAACAUAUUCUAUUUGAUCUCUAAGUCCGUACAUAGCAAUCCUGGAUGGGUCAUCACUUGCAACCGGUCUGUUGGAAAGUUCCUGCAUACGAACCUAAAAAAAAAAGCUUUUCUGGGGACGCGCUGUUCAAGUCGAGUUUCCUUAUUGUCCCUUCCAAGACNNNNNNNNNNNNNNNNNNNNNNNNNNNNNNNNNNNNNNNNNNNNNNNNNNNNNNNNNNNNNNNNNNNNNNNNNNNNNNNNNUAGAGGAAUUGGUCACCUCACUAACUUCCCUAUUUCCAAAGGAAGAAGCGAAGGAAUGUAUUUAAGACCCUACGACUAUUCAAUAGAGCAUAAUUGUCUCAUCCCAAAGGAAAGAUGAAUGGGUCCACUUCGCAUCCUAAGAGAGCGCUUUUUCUGCUAUGAAUGAAUGACCUCUCCAUUUAUUUUCAAGCUUGCUCUUCAAGCCGGCCUAUCGCUCUCCUCUAUGAAAAGGUUCUUCCUGGCAAGGAUCGGAACGGGCUCCCAGGUCGAAUUCCUGAUCUAUUCGUUUCAGCCUUAGAGGAUUGAGCUUUUUGAGAGCACCGCACUGCGAUUGAAUGGCGGAUUUCAAUGAUGAAGAGAAAAGUCUAGUUCUCUUUUCAUUUGAAAGGGGAAUGGAUGUCUUAUUGAGAGUGAUUACGGAAGAACCUUUUCAUAGAGGAGAGCGAUAGGCCGGUUUGAAGAGCAAGCUUGAAAAUAAAUGGAGAGGUCAUUCAUUCAUAGCAGAAAAAGCGCUCACUCACUCGUAUCUGAAAAGGCAGGCGGGGGGCUCUCUAUCCUUAAGAUAAGAUUUUUUUCAUUCUUAAAAGCCUUCUUUCAUAGAUAAUCAGUAGUCUUCCUCUCGCUAGCUAUUCUGAGUAAGAGGGGGAGGACUUGAUGUGACUACUAUUAGACCUCCAACCCCGAGAGACUCUACAAUCAUUAUGAGCGGAUAACCCUUUCCCUUCCCUUCUAUAGAGAGGUUGCCCCUUUCUCCCCGGGUAGUUCACUCACUCCCAGUGCCUACCAUUUCUAUAUACUUUUGAAAAUAGAGAGGUAGUCGCAGCAGGAGAAGCACCCCUAAACCCCUGAGAUCACUCGACCCCGACCGGUCAAUCUCCUGUCAUUGCUAUCUCGUGCGCGAAGGGUUGCUCAUGCUUCCCAAACGUCACGCAUUUUUUAGGUCAUUAGUCAACAGCUCCCUGGACAGCGAAAUAGGGGUGACUUCACAUUGUUUCCUGACACGCCUAUCUUUGUUUUAGGGAAAUCCUCUCCCCGUUCAGGCGGAUGCCGCACCUUGCGCUUGUGAAUGAGUGUGAUAUGUACCUCUUUGCUCAGCAUGUGACUUUGUACCCUCUGAGGUGAAUCCAAUAGUUUAGAUAUCCCCGCACAGAUGUUCUCGAAUGUGCCGUUCUCUUUGUUAGAAAGCCCUCUUGACUGUUGUCUACCUUUGAUUCUGUCUUCCGGGUGAAGGUCCUGCAGAGGUCUUUUUUAGUGAUCAAAAUUGAUUAGGGACAGUGAACCAUGAUGAAAGGAGCUAUUGACCUGAGUGCUUUUCUAUUUAUAUUUGAAAAGCAAGGUAGGUUAGUUAACGAAAGGGUAAGGUGAGGCUGGAAUGGGAUAUAGUAAGUGUGCCACGAGUGCUCCCUUCUAAGGCUUCUGCUUCUCUCCUUGCCUCAGGAUUGGAAUCAUAAACUCCAGAUUCUUUGGCUGUUCGGGCAUUGCGUUCGGUUCGAAAGGCAUGUGCCUAUCCCCGAUGACAAUGUCAUCACCGAGAAUAGCGUACUUUAGAAACCUUUGCUUUUGGAGUAACACGAGCCUGGCUCAACGCCUAAAGCGCACUAUGCUCUGCUUCAACAAAUGAGAGUUUUCGGUGGAACUGGUGAACCAGUGUGCCUCGUCUUGCCGAAAGACUUGGGAUUUCUUCAGGGUUCCCUCUGAAAUGAGGCAUGUAAGGGAGCCACUACGAAGAAGUUCCGGGAGUUACGAAGGAAGCUUCGAGCUUAAGGGCCCUUCUCACCUCCUACGAGUCAUCCGGCGGAAAAGACUUUCUGAAUGGGGUAAAAGAACUUGGGAUCAAGGUUGCAGUCAAUUGAGCUUCCCUUCUAGUCGCUUCCUCAAAUUCUGGAUCCCGCUCUCAGCUUCGUCGGACCAUUCGAUUCAUUAAGGGGCAUAGCGGCGCCCUCGCCCGGUGCCAUUUCCGGACCUAGCAGCAGACGGGCGGGCCGUGCCUGAAUUCAGACCGGACCAGACUCUUCUUUGUUUGAGCUGCUCCCAGGCACGCAGACCGAAGAUCUCACUUGUCCUGGACAAGUACGUAGAGAUCUUCGUGGGACCGUGGAGGGAGUCUCAAUCGAUCUUUUCUAGGAUUCCUUAUCACGCCACACAUGGAGAUCUU